CACGUCGUCUGCUACCGCUUCAUGUAGCGGGCUUCUAACUUGUACCUUUAUAAUAAUUAUUAUUUUAUGUA